AGAGUUUGAUUAUGGCUCAGGAUGAACGCUGGCGGCGUGCUUAACACAUGCAAGUCGAACGGAGUUAUUACGAAAGCUUGCUUUGUUUAACUUAGUGGCGGACGGGUGAGUAACGCGUGAGGAACCUGCCCUUUAGUGGGGAAUAACACCGAGAAAUCGGUGCUAAUACCGCAUAAUGUCGGGAAACCGCAUGAUUUUCCGACCAAAGGAUUUAUUCGCUUAAGGAUGGCCUCGCGUCCGAUUAGGCAGUUGGUGGGGUAACGGCCCACCAAACCAACGAUCGGUAGCCGAACUGAGAGGUUGAUCGGCCACAUUGGGACUGAGACACGGCCCAGACUCCUACGGGAGGCAGCAGUGGGGAAUAUUGGGCAAUGGGCGAAAAAGCCUGACCCAGCAACGCCGCGUGAAGGAUGACGGUCUUAGGAUUGUAAACUUCUUUAAUCGGGGAAGAAUAAAUGACCUACCCGAAGAAUAAGCCACGGCUAACUACGUGCCAGCAGCCGC
rnacentral:rRNA from 1 species